UACGUAGGCAGCGAGCGUUUGUUCGGAGUUACUGGGCGUAAAGGGUGCGUAGGCGGUUGUUUAAGUUUGGUGUGAAAUCUCCCGGCUCAACUGGGAGGGUGCGCCGAAUACUGAAUGACUAGAGUGCGGGAGAGGAGAGUGGAAUUCCUGGUGUAGCGGUGAAAUGCGUAGAUAUCAGGAGGAACACCGGUGGUGUAGACGGCUCUCUGGACCGUAACUGACGCUGAGGCACGAAAGCGUGGGUAGCAAACAGG
rnacentral:rRNA from 1 species